rnacentral:rRNA from 1 species
CCCUUAGAUGUCCUGAGCCGCACGCGUGCUACAAUGACACAUUCAACGAGUAUUUCCUGGUCCGACAGGAUCUGGGUAAUCUUUUUAGUGUGUGUCGUGUUAGGGAUAGAUCUUUGUAAUUAUGGAUCUUGAACGAGGAAUUCCUAGUAAGCGCAAGUCAUCAGCUUGUGCUGAUUACGUCCCUGCAAAAUGUACACACCGCCCGUCGCUAUUGCCGAUUGAGUGCUCAGGUGAACCUUCUUGAUUGUUGCAAAACGAAAAAUUAAGUAAACCUUAGCACUUAGAGGGAAUAAAANUCGUAACA